UGCAGAAUCCCGUGAACCAUCGAGUCUUUGAACGCAAGUUGCGCCCGAGGGAUCCUCCCGAGGGCACGCCUGCCUGGGCGUUAGAAGCCCAUCAACACUCGGUCAACCUUUAUUUAGAGGACGGACUUGAUGUGGACAAUGGACCUCCGAGCCAGUAAUGGCACGGUGGGCUGAAGUUAAUGGUCGUCGGAUGGUGACUUGAUCGACGAGUUGUGGGCUACUGCGCAUGUCGAUCAAGGCCACCAUUUCGAUGUAUGGCCUCUAUACCCCAGUCGUAACGAGGGGAUUGUUGUUGCAGCAUCUUGUUGUUUCACAAUUUCGGACCGAUACCCCAGGUCAGGCGGGGCCACCCGCUGAGUUUAAGCAUAUAAAUAAGCGGAGGAGAAGAAACUUACAAGGAUUCCCCUAGUAACGGCGAGCGAACCGGGAGUAGCCCAGCCUUAGAAUCGUGACAGCCUUGCUGCCCGA
rnacentral:rRNA from 1 species